rnacentral:tRNA from 3 species
CGGGGUGUAGCGCAGUUUGGUUAGCGCGCGGCGUUCGGGACGCCGAGGUCGGAGGUUCAAAUCCUCUCACCCCGACCA